GCGAAAACUUUACAAUGCUGGCAACAGCGAUAAGGGAACCUCGAGUGCCAGGUUACAAAUCUGGCUGUCGAGAUGCCUAAAAAGCAUUUCCUAGCAAGGGCCGGGCAAGACCGGUGCCAGCCGCCGCGGUAACACCGGCGGCUCGAGUGGUAACCGUUAUUAUUGGGUCUAAAGGGUCUGUAGCCGGCCGGAUAAGUCUCAUGAGAAAUCUGGCAGCUUAACUGUCAGGCUUUCAGGAGAUACUGUCUGGCUCGAGGCCGGGAGAGGUGAGAGGUACUUCAGGGGUAGGGGUGAAAUCUUGUAAUCCUUGAAGGACCACCAGUGGCGAAGGCGUCUCACCAGAACGGACCUGACGGCAAGGGACGAAAGCUAGGGGCACGAACC
rnacentral:rRNA from 1 species